UACUAAAUAACAGUGAGACUAGUUUAACUAUCUGAGUGUUUGUAAUUGUUCUGAGUAAUUUGAACCUUUUAACGGAGACUGAGGAGCAUGUAAACACAGCUCUGAUCCACCAGCACCAGAAGAAACAAACAAAACUUUCAUUCAUGGUUUUGGAGCCGUGGUCACGUGACUCUCGUUUAUUCAUUAAAUAUUAAUUAAAUAUUAGCUUGUCAUGUGACCGGCUCACGCCCGGUUGGCUGUUGCUAGGCGGAUUAGAUCAGGAUGAAGAACCUCCUCCUCUUCCUCGUCUGUCCCGUUUCAUUGAUUAUUAUUUGUCCCGUUAACUAAUUAGAAGCUGUGAUGCACAUCGUCCUUAACGAGCCAUUAGCUUAUUGGCCAGAGUUCAUUCAUUAACACACACACACACACACACACACACACACACACACACACAGGAAGGAACUUCGUUUCCCAUCAUGCACCUGUCCAGCAGAAGGUUGUUUAAAUCUCAGAGCUCCAGUUUGCAGCACAUAGAAAAGCUGCAGCUUGUAAAAUGAUUCAUUGCUGUUUAUACGUCUGUUUUUACCCUCAUCCAAUUAGUUUAAUGUUUUUACCCCCAGUCUCUACUGGUUAUUAGUCUGUUAUCAUGAACCCAACCGUCUGUUUCCUCGACUAUAUCUGAACUCAUUUAUUGUGAGGAAUCAGGAAUUACAUGGUCACAUUUUACAUGAUGGAGCAAUAAACAUGAUCCAGUCCUGCUCAUCCAGGGAUUAGUCUGUGCCAGGAGACAGUGUUACUUUUGGUCCGGUCUAUUCUCUGGAGAGCUGAGGUAAUUUUGCCUCAGUGCUCCAUGGCGACUGUUUCCAAUUCCCAUUACAGUCACCAACUGAGACUAGACUGGCCCCAUGGGACAUGUCUAUCACCUGGAAACAGACUCAAUUAUCUGGUCAGUGUCUAAUCUCUGAAUGGCUGGUCUCACCAGGGCUUUGUCACCUAAAUAUCAGCAAUGAACAACUCAUCUCGGUCUGGUCUAUCCUCUGGAGAGCUGGUGUUAUUACCCUUUGAGAAGCUCAGAGAAUAGUCUGAUACGAAUCUGAAAUGUAACUAAGAAAAUAAAAGUCAUUAAAAGAUGAUAUUAAUUAAAAUGUCUUCGUGCUGCUCUGUGCUCGGUCUAAUCUCUGGAGAGCGAGGGUUGAUCUCCUGAGGGAUUGUGGGUAUUUUCAUCUCCAUCACAAACACUCACGGCCUCAUUAAGUGAUGGAGGAGGCUCGGUGCAGUCUAAUCCCUGGACACCAGUCUUUGUGAGGAUAUGAUUAGUUGCUGCGACUCUGGACGUUUGUUGUUCAGACACAAAGUUUGAAACUUUUUUUAUUUAGUGUUUUAUUUAUCAGAAGAAAACUGGAUGAAAAGUUUCAAAGAGCAGGAAAUGAUCCUGAAGCCAAAAGUAACUGACUAACGCGACAACUGAAAGGCUAAUGCUAAUGCUAACAAACUAACCUGGAGCUAAAUCAAACCAGUGCCAAAGCUAAUGGUCAUAGUUUCCAGAUGCACAAAUUAAAUCUUCCAUCAAACUCAUAUUUGUCAUCAUCCAGGACGAAUCCCAUCGCUGAGAUGUGUUUGUCCAUGUUUGCAUAUCUGCAGUUAGUGGCGCUAAAUGACGAAUAAAUGUGUUUGAUCACAUGAAACGAGGACGAAUCUGCAGCGUCUCUGAAGACAUCAGCAGAAAAUAAAAGCCGCUUGACUCAGCGUUUCUCUUUAUUUAUUUAUUGUCACCGCCGAUGAUUCACGGUUCAUUUGGGAGAGUGGCUGUGUUUCAAAGACAUCUAUCUUUGUGGGGACAUUCAGUUUAAAUCGUGUUUAGCUUCAGGGCCUUUAAAACACAGGUCCUCACAACGAUGGUGAACUAACACCGACUCACACACACUCAUCCAAUUAAAUGUGAUAAUUAAACAGCGGCAGUAAAAUAAACAUUUUCUUUGGUUUCAUGUUUCUAGUUUGUAUUUUAAUAAAACCCAGUUCAUUGUGUUUUGAACAUUUAUUAUUAUUUUUAUUUUGAGAUUUGGUAAAAACCAUUAAACCAGUUUCUUACAGAGAUGAGCUGUAUUUGUCAUUUUUCUCUGCGACAUUAGAUUGAACAGAAUAAUCAGUAAUAUGGGAUAAAUGCAGCUUUUAAUAGUUUAAAUGUUUAGUUUUUUAUUUGCUGACACUAGUGUAACUAAUAAACUGGACUAAUAAACUCAGCUUAGAACCCAGUGUUGUUGUAAUCAAUGGUUCCUGGUAAUGAGUUGGAUCGUUGUUCUCCAGUAAUUAGCCUGAGCCCUGUCCAGCAAACACAGGCCUGAGUCUGAGGUUUCCAUUACACUUUAAUGAAAUCACACAAAUAUACAAACUCAGCAGAAGGCAAUGGCAAUGAUAUAAAAACUGACACAGGCUAUUACAUGAAGAAGAUUCAUCAUCAUCAACAUCAUUACAUUAGAACUCAGCAAAAAUAAAAAAUAAAAACAAGGCAAUGGCAAAUGGUAUCAAAAAAUGGGCCCUGACUAUUUCCUGGAAAGCAUUAACGUUUUCCAUGUUUUCAGUGAAAAGUAACAAGUUUUCCAGAUGAACUAAGACACCAGAUCCAGAACAGGGCUCCUCGGCGACCCAGACCAGGUCCAGGACCAGGACCAGGUCCAGGUCCAGGACCAGGACCAGGACCAGGUCCAGGACCAGGACCAGGUCCAGGACCAGGACCAGGUCCAGGACCAGGACCCAGAUGAUCUUUGAUCGGUGUUAAACUGGAGCCUGGUGGCGACUGAGGCUCCUCCUCAGAAUAAUAAGAGCAAUUAAUUAAUUCAUUAAUCAUGAAUGAUAAUCAUGUUAUGGUACAAUAGAGACUCUGGGACUCAUCUGUUGCUAUGAUACAAUGAGGCGCGCUGGGAUUGGCUGUUGACCAAC